rnacentral:sRNA from 1 species
UCAGAGGAGGGAAUAAACAAUUCCAUCCC